rnacentral:rRNA from 1 species
GAUGAACGCUGGCGGCGUGCCUAAUACAUGCAAGUCGAGCGAACGGACGAGAAGCUUGCUUCUCUGAUGUUAGCGGCGGACGGGUGAGUAACACGUGGAUAACCUACCUAUAAGACUGGGAUAACUUCGGGAAACCGGAGCUAAUACCGGAUAAUAUUUUGAACCGCAUGGUUCAAAAGUGAAAGACGGUCUUGCUGUCACUUAUAGAUGGAUCCGCGCUGCAUUAGCUAGUUGGUAAGGUAACGGCUUACCAAGGCAACGAUGCAUAGCCGGCCUGAGAGGGUGAUCGGCCACACUGGAACUGAGACACGGUCCAGACUCCUACGGGAGGCAGCAGUAGGGAAUCUUCCGCAAUGGGCGAAAGCCUGACGGAGCAACGCCGCGUGAGUGAUGAAGGUCUUCGGAUCGUAAAACUCUGUUAUUAGGGAAGAACAUAUGUGUAAGUAACUGUGCACAUCUUGACGGUACCUAAUCAGAAAGCCACGGCUAACUACGUGCCAGCAGCCGCGGUAAUACGUAGGUGGCAAGCGUUAUCCGGAAUUAUUGGGCGUAAAGCGCGCGUAGGCGGUUUUUUAAGUCUGAUGUGAAAGCCCACGGCUCAACCGUGGAGGGUCAUUGGAAACUGGAAAACUUGAGUGCAGAAGAGGAAAGUGGAAUUCCAUGUGUAGCGGUGAAAUGCGCAGAGAUAUGGAGGAACACCAGUGGCGAAGGCGACUUUCUGGUCUGUAACUGACGCUGAUGUGCGAAAGCGUGGGGAUCAAACAGGAUUAGAUACCCUGGUAGUCCACGCCGUAAACGAUGAGUGCUAAGUGUUAGGGGGUUUCCGCCCCUUAGUGCUGCAGCUAACGCAUUAAGCACUCCGCCUGGGGAGUACGACCGCAAGGUUGAAACUCAAAGGAAUUGACGGGGACCCGCACAAGCGGUGGAGCAUGUGGUUUAAUUCGAAGCAACGCGAAGAACCUUACCAAAUCUUGACAUCCUUUGACAACUCUAGAGAUAGAGCCUUCCCCUUCGGGGGGCAAAGUGACAGGUGGUGCAUGGUUGUCGUCAGCUCGUGUCGUGAGAUGUUGGGUUAAGUCCCGCAACGAGCGCAACCCUUAAGCUUAGUUGCCAUCAUUAAGUUGGGCACUCUAAGUUGACUGCCGGUGACAAACCGGAGGAAGGUGGGGAUGACGUCAAAUCAUCAUGCCCCUUAUGAUUUGGGCUACACACGUGCUACAAUGGACAAUACAAAGGGCAGCGAAACCGCGAGGUCAAGCAAAUCCCAUAAAGUUGUUCUCAGUUCGGAUUGUAGUCUGCAACUCGACUACAUGAAGCUGGAAUCGCUAGUAAUCGUAGAUCAGCAUGCUACGGUGAAUACGUUCCCGGGUCU